AUCACUUCCUAGCCUUUUGGCUAAGAUCAAGUAGAGAAUC
rnacentral:snRNA from 1 species